AUUGAACGCUGGCGGCAGGCCUAACACAUGCAAGUCGGACGGUAGCACAGAGGAGCUUGCUCCUCGGGUGACGAGUGGCGGACGGGUGAGUAAUGUCUGGGGAUCUGCCCGAUAGAGAGGGAUAACCACUGGAAACGGUGGCUAAUACCGCAUAACGUCGCAAGACCAAAGAGGGGGACCUUCGGGCCUCUCACUAUCGGAUGAACCCAGAUGGGAUUAGCUAGUAGGCGGGGUAACGGCCCACCUAGGCGACGAUCCCUAGCUGGUCUGAGAGGAUGACCAGCCACACUGGAACUGAGACACGGUCCAGACUCCUACGGGAGGCAGCAGUGGGGAAUAUUGCACAAUGGGCGCAAGCCUGAUGCAGCCAUGCCGCGUGUAUGAAGAAGGCCUUCGGGUUGUAAAGUACUUUCAGCGGGGAGGAAGGCGAUGUGGUUAAUAACCGCAUUGAUUGACGUUGCCCGCAGAAGAAGCACCGGCUAACUCCGUGCCAGCAGCCGCGGUAA
rnacentral:rRNA from 1 species